UAGCAAGUCACAAAAUAGGGGACUAAGAUGCAAUCUAAAACUUGCAAAUCUGCCCUACUUACUUGCCUAUAAAGGCAUUCUCGCUGGCUGGAGAAAAAAAGAAGGCAAAGUUUUGAGGCUAAAAAUUUUCAGAAAACAAAGCUGCUACUUUAAAGGUUUUUAGGAGCUAAAAAUACAGAAAAUUGACUUGAGAAAUUAGAGAGCUGAAAAUCUAGAAACAAAACAUAAAAAACUGAAAAACUUUACUGCCUUAUAGAGGAUUUGAGUGAUAGAAUUCAAGAAUACAAACGAUGAACAAGUAUGUACUGUCUGAUUAAUCUCUUUAUUGAUUUUUUGAAGUUUUCCAGUUCUGAAAUACAUUCUAUUUCAUUUGAGACUGAAUAUGAUUUGAUUCGAGGUUUAAAUUGCACCAUUUCUAGGGUUGCUUUGCACCAUUUAGUUUGGGUUGUUUCUUAUGCUGAUUUUUUCUGGAAUCUGGGAGCUGUGUCACGUGUUGCCAGCUGCUGAGCAUAUUGAAUCUCACUUCUCCUUUGUUUCUUCUUUUCCCAGGUAUAUAUCUCUGCACUCUACUUAAUGUAAAAGUCGGAAUUGAAAUCAAAUGGGAAUCAAGAGCUGUGAACAACAGUCACAGCCUUAGUGUUCAUAAUCUAGUUCUUUCGUUUCACUUACUUUGAUCGCUAUUUUGCACCUUUGAUUAUGUCAUUAGCUACUGAUUUCAGUAUACUGUGUGCCAACUGCUGAUUUGGAUAAGAUCUAUUUAAAUGUAGUCAUUCUGUGUGGCUGCUUGUUAAUUGAUUUUUCUAAUCAUAUGAGUUGUUUCUUGCUCUUUGAUUAAUUCUCUGAUGAUUGUCCUACCAUGAGUUUCCUGGCAUGAUUCCUUGUUUACUUAAAGGUGAAUUUCAACUUCUGUUCAUUCAGUGUCGUUUGGAAAUCUAAGUUGGACGAUCAGUGUUGUUUAGAGAUCUAAGUUGGGACGUCUUGUUAGUUAGCAAGUAAUCAUAAUAUUGGCUCGUUGAUUAUGUAUUCAACGUGGUUUGUAUAACAGUAAACGUUAUAUUUAUGACUGUCAGCAUAGAUGUAUACGAUUGUUUAGUGAAAAGGGAAAUUCAUGAUAUUAGUAUUAAUGGCUUCAUCAAAUUUGUCCGUUACUGUAUUGGAUCUAUCGUUUUGGGUUGGAGUAAUGACAAGUAUGCCUAGCGUGAGUCUGCACUGGUGAUUGCAAGCAUGCUGUUCUUUGUAAAAUCAAGGGAAAACAAAGUAUUCUUUAACAUUUUGUGUCAUAGUUGUUGCGUUCCUUCACUGGUUAACAAAGAGUGAUUUCAUACUAUUAUGUUACCUCUUUCUCCAACGUUCCUCUACUCUCCAACGUUCUGCUCCAGCAACUAAUCCCUCCCCAGCUCCCAGCCCCACCCCCUUUCCCUCUCCCCUUACCCCCUCCGGCGACACCUCCCUCCGGCGACCUCCCUCCCCCUUCGGCGACCCUUCUCCGGCGAUCCCCUAAGUAAGUUCUCUCUCUUCUGUCUCUCUCCCCUCUCU
rnacentral:lncRNA from 1 species